rnacentral:tRNA from 1 species
GGCUCGUUGGUCUAGGGGUAUGAUUCCUGCUUCGGGCGCAGGAGGUCCCGGGUUCAAAUCCCGGGCGAGCCC